rnacentral:tRNA from 1 species
GCCGUUGUAGCUCAGUUGGUAGAGCACCCCCAUGGUAAGGGGGAGGUCAUCAGUUCGAUCCUGAUCAACGGCU